rnacentral:rRNA from 1 species
UACGUAGGGCGCAAGCGUUGUCCGGAAUUAUUGGGCGUAAAGAGCUCGUAGGCGGUUUGUCGCGUCUGCUGUGAAAACCUAAGGCUCAACCUUGGGCUUGCAGUGGGUACGGGCAGACUAGAGUGCGGUAGGGGUGACUGGAAUUCCUGGUGUAGCGGUGGAAUGCGCAGAUAUCAGGAGGAACACCGAUGGCGAAGGCAGGUCAAUGGGCCGCAACUGACGCUGAGGAGCGAAAGCAUGGGGAGCGAACAGG